rnacentral:piRNA from 1 species
UGCACAAACAACAAGAUGAUG